rnacentral:tRNA from 1 species
GAGUCGUUAGCUCAGUCGGUAGAGCACCGGACUUUUAAUCCGGGUGUCGCGAGUUCAAGUCUCGCACGACUCA